UUUGGCAAGAGCAUUGGCUGCUCCGGAUACAGACCAUCCAAAUGGAACACCAGGCCAUAAGAAUUAUGGGUUGAGUGUUCUUCAGCAACAUGUGGCCUUUUUUGACAUGGACGACAAUGGAAUCAUUUACCCUUGGAAGACAUAUACUGGGCUGCGUGCAAUUGGUUUCAACAUGAUUGCAUCUCUUACAAUGGCUAUUGGUAUUAAUGGAGCUUUGAGUUACCCUACUCUUCUCGUUAUAUAUUAAAUAGAAAAAACAAUCUGCUCUAUCCUGUUCACCGGUAGCUAAUAUGGAGAAGGAUUUUGAUUCAAAGCUAAGGAUUGAGGGCAAUUCUUCCAAUGGAGGGAACAUACCCAGAUCUAAGAGCUUUGAAUUGGGUAGUAUCUAUGGCAUUGGUUCUUAUUCCAGGAUCUCAUUUUUCUUCAUUAUAUUUAAUUUUUUUACUGUAUUUAUUAUUAUUAUUAUUAUUAUUAUUAUUAUUAUUAUUAUUAUUAUUAUU